CUGACAAAGGAAAUGAUUAUGAAGUCAAGUAAAUUUUGAGUAUGAUUUACAAGUUAAGUUCUGACAGAGAUUUCUCCAUUGUUGUUGAGCAGUUGUACAACACUGUAGAUGGAAGAAAACACCCAGAGGAAUACUGGAGAAAUCUGAGGAUGCGGGUGCCCAUGAGAAAGGCCACUGAGCAAAAGCCAGAAGUUAUUCUUUCCAUUGACGAAUUCAAGUAUCACAAUGCUGCUACAGACGCUGAGGAGAAACCUCUUGGCACCUCCUCUGAACCAGUUGGCAGUGGUGGCGAUGGCGGUGGCGAUCUUAAAGAAGAGGAGCCUCUUGGCACGUCCUCUGAACCAGUUGGCAGUGGUGGUGGUACCGGUGGUGGCGACCGUAAAGUACACAAACAUCUUUUUAAGCAAUAUGGACCAAAAGUUCCUGCGAAUUAAUUUAAAUACCGUGUGCAAGUGUACUGUCAUGGAUGAUAAUAUUUGAAUGGAAGAUAUGUGAAAUGAUCUCUAUCCUUUUAUGGUCAUUCAGGGUCCGGCAACACUACAAACAUGUAGUUUUUCAAUAAAGUGAUAUCACCUAUGUAUUUCACAACUUAAUCUCAUUUCUCUGUUUUCAUCUACCUUUAUGUCUUGUUUCUUGGUAUGACCUAUGUAUUUUGCAACUUAAUCUUAUUUGCCUGUACUCAUCUACCUUUGUGUCUAGUCACAUGGUAUGUAUCCUCGUUUGUACUCAUCUACCUUUAUGUCUGGUCACGUGGUAUGUAUCCUCGUCUGUUCUCAUCUACAUUUGUGUCUAGUGACGUGGUAUUUAUCCUCAUUUGAUGACUUAUCACCUCUGUAUUUUACAACUUCAUAUCAUUUGUCUAUACUCAUCUACCUUUGUGGAUAGUUACGUGGUAUGUAUUAUCGUUUGAUGACCUAAAAUUUAUCAUAUAUAUAUAUAUAUAUAUAUAUGAUAUUUCCUUCUAUAAGUAUUGCUAAGAUAUUUUCGCAUUUUUCGAUUAUUUAUGAUUUUAUAUAAAAGGCCUUUGAUUUUACAAAAGACGCUUACUUCAGAACAUUUUCUACAAAAAGACAGUUAUGUUCAAAACAAUUUUUAAAAAUAUUUUUGUAAAAUAAAAGUUUAUUUAAAAACUUAAAAUAUUCUCUAUCUAUUUUUUAUAUUUUAAUUUUUUAAAAAAUAUUUCUUAAAAAUAAUUAUAUGUAAUGCUUUAUUUUGAAUCAUUCUUUAUAUUUAUACAAUCAUUUUUUAAAACAACAUAAAAAAAAACAAGUGAAAAUAACUAAAAAUAUGUUCUAGUAAAUAUCAUAUUUUCGGGACAAAUUCUUAAAAAAACUAUUUUAUAUCAAAAAAAUACCAAAUUCAUGUUUUUGAGUCUUAAAAAUAGUUUUCAGUUUAAAAAUAAUUCUCAAUCAACUCUUAUAAUCUUUAUGAAAACAGAAUGUUGAACAUGCAUCAUUAAAUAUUUAUGAAACUAUCAUUUUACUUAAUGCAAUGACAUUCUUAUAAUUUUGUAGAUAAAAUUGUAAAAAUUCAUUCAAUUGCUAACAAAGGUAAAUAAAAAUCUUUUUCCUAUAAAUAAAUCAAAUUACUUUUUUUUAAUAAAAUUAUUUCUAAUAAAUUAUUUUAGCAACGAUAAGUAUAAAUAAUUUUUUUAAGAAUAAAAAAAUUGAAUGCAAAUAAAAUUGAAUCAAAUCAUUUAUUCAAAAUAAAUUAAAACCUUUUUAUAAAUAAAUAAAUUAAAUUUCAUUCAAUUGCUAACAAAGGUAAAUAAAAAUCUUUUUCCUAUAAAUAAAUCAAAUUACUUUUUUUUUAAUAAAAUUAUUUCUAAUAAAUUAUUUUAGCAACGAUAAGUAUAAAUAAUUUUUUUAAGAAUAAAAAAAUUGAAUGCAAAUAAAAUUGAAUCAAAUCAUUUAUUCAAAAUAAAUUAAAACCUUUUUAUAAAUAAAUAAAUUAAAUUUCAUUCAAUUGCUAACAAAGGUAAAUAAAAAUCUUUUUCCUAUAAAUAAAUCAAAUUACUUUUUUUUAAUAAAAUUAUUUCUAAUAAAUUAUUUUAGCAACGAUAAGUAUAAAUAAUUUUUUUAAGAAUAAAAAAAUUGAAUGCAAAUAAAAUUGAUUCAAAUCAUUUAUUCAAAAUAAAUUAAAACCUUUUUAUAAAUAAAUAAAUUAAAUUUUUUUAACAAACUCCUUUCGAAUUUCUUAAAAAAGUAAUUUUUUGAAAUAUUUUUUAACAUUAGUUUAAUAAAUCAGUUUUCAUAAUUUUUAUAUUACUUAUCUUGUACAUUCUUGUAAUGACUCAUCACCAUACUUUCUCGCAGAUAUGUCUGUCUUUUCAUUAAAAAAAAGAAGUUGCACUAGAUUUUUUUUCUUAUUUUGGUUUUUCUUUUUCAAAAUAAACAAAAAUAAGUGAUAACUCCAAAUAUUUUUUCUAAAAUGUAAAUUUUUCACAAGUCUUGCCAUCAAGUAAGAGCUCACAUGAAAGAUGUAGAUCCAUAGCAAUUAAAAAAAAAAAGGGAAAAAGACACCUAAACUUUUUCUUUUCCAUUUUCCUCAACAACGGCACAAUUUUUCUUUUCCUCAACUUUUCCGUCGGUAAACAAGUAAGAGAAAAACUGUUGUCUUGCCUUUAUUUUCCCACAUUUUUUUCUCAAAAUUUAAAAAAAAAUAAAAAAUAUAAUUUUCUUCCGGGUUUGUUUUUCUUCUCUGGUCAUGCUUCUAGAAUAUCCACUCUUUGUUUCACUUGAAACUUCAAAGAACCAAACAAAACCAAAGAAUUUUUUCAAAAAAAAAAAAAAAAAUUCAGUUGUAAAAUAUCUUGCUCUAUAAUUUUUGUUUUCUAGUGCUUGUUAUGUAUUUGAUUUUUAAAAGUAUUUGAUUUUUAAAACACUAAUUGUAAACCAUUUGUGAAGGACAUUGAGGCUAUGAGUAUUAAUACAUUGGCUUACACAAUAGCUAAGGAUCAUAAAUAAUCAUUUGUGAGAGAUUUUGAGCCCAUGAAGACGAAUACCUUGGCUUACACAAAGGCGUACGUAAAAGGAAUUUGAGCUUGUUGGGUCUAGUUUUCCAUCUUUACUAUGGUGAAGUUACUACUAAAGAAGUGGCAGAAUAAGGGAAACUAUAAUGUGCACUAUAUAUAUAUAUAUAUAUAUAUAUAUAUAUAUAUAUACACUAAAGGUACGUAAAAAAUCAACUAAAAGGCUAAUGAUUAUGUUUUUGGUUAUCUUAUUGGAAACAUAAGUCAUAUGCCUUAUCUUUUAGUCAUUGUUGUAUCUCAAAACGAAGAAAUAGAUGUUCAAUGUUUGAUGUUUGAUGUGUGCCAUGAUUUCAGAGAAGUUGAAAACCUACGUAUAAAUACUUGAAAUGGUAAAUGACAUUUUAUGUUGAAAAUUAGUUACUUUUCAAGAAAAAAUUAUGAGAAAGAUUAAAUUCACAAUGUUGGAUUAUUUCAUCAUUUUUAACCAAAAAUUUUCUAAAAAUACUUUGAAUAGAAACAUUACAAAACAUACUAUUAGUCAAAUAAAACACGAAAUUUUAACACAAUGCCCAAGCCCACCUCGCUUUAGUACUAAGCUUAAUGUCACGGACUUAGUCGUUCACUAAGCUCGUGCGACACUUUGGCAAGAUAAGACGCUUGAUCUUUGAAGUCAGCCUUAUUCACAAUGCUUAGCUUGCUAGGCUAAGGUGCUUAUGACUCAAAAGCUUAAGAAGCUUAAUAGGCAACUCCUUAAAGAAUGGAAGCUCUCAUUAACUCAAAGAAGCUCUUACAAGUGCUUGGAAGCUCACUUACUUGGUUAGGAAGUGAUUUUGGUGGUGCCUUGGCCAAAUGAGGUCCUCACAUAUUUAUAGGCACCAAUAAAACUCUCUAGAACCUUAAAGGGUUCCUUACAAAUAAAAAAUAUUCUAGAACUCCCUACACUAAUUUAUGUACAACCCUAUGUACAAGAAUAUACAAUAGAUCUUUAGAAUCUUAUAGAAAGCCUUGGACUCCUCUCAUGUCUUCCACCAUAGUGUAGAGAUGUGUGAACAUCUCUAGGCAUCUCUAGAACCUUCCACAUUAUUCCCACCAAUGACUUAGUGUAGAUGGCUCCAGGAGUCUCCAGAAGCUUCCCUCCUCCUAUAUAAGCCCAUGGGGAGGGUCAUUUGAAGCAUCUUGUGACAUUAAGCCCAAAAACUUCUAGCACCUUGGGCCACAUGCACGUGGCCCAGUCGAGGAUCAUUUCAAACCAAACAUGAAAAGAUAAAUUAAUAAUGAUUAAAAUGGAUGAAAAGACCCCAAAUUUGUAAAAUUAACCUCCCUCAUUUUUUUAACUUAAAGAGUAACCUAUUUUUUAUAUAAAUACCCUUCAAAUUUUCAUUAUUUACAUGUGGUUUAAAAGAAAAUAUUAUUUCUAUAAGAAAAAAAAAAAGAAUAUUUUUGUCCAAAAUAGGUAUUUUUUAAAUUGAAAAAAAGUAAAGGGUUAGUUUUGUAAAAUGAGAAUAAUUUCGGCCCUUUCAAUAGGUUAUCCCAAAAAUAAAUAAAGAAACAAAAGAGAUCCUUUGAUUGAUUCUCGAGAUCUCUAUGAUUAUCCAUGGAUGCCCAUGCUGUCUGCCUCUCAAUUUUAAAAAGAAAAACAAUGAAAAUGUGAUAAAAGCUAAAGUAACACAUAACAAAAAGUGUCACCACCAUGGAUAUCUCAAAGAAUAAAAUAUAUGCCUCGUUAUCUUAAUUUGGGCUUAAUCCACAUAUUAAUGACCGCCAACGUGGAUCUCGAGGGUCUUGAAUUGCUGUCUUAUACAUAUUUUUUCUUGCUUUUGUAGCUAUAUAUAUUACAUAGACUGAUCGGAGUCUCUCACGAAAAUUACAGAGAGGAAAGCCAUGGAGUCUCCUCUCGCUUUCUUGGCCAUUUUCUCGCUUCUCUUCGUAAGUAUUUCCACAUUUUCUUCUAUUUUCGUCAAAUCUUUUUUCAUUAACUUUAAAUAUAUAUAUUUUUUUAUUUUCUUGAGCAUAUUCAUUCCUUCUAUUUUUCUUUCCUAUUUACUUUCCUUCUUGUUGAGCAGUUGGCCAGUGUAGAGGCAAGAAAACACCCAGGAGAAGACUGGAGUAAGGGCCCAGCAACUUUGAGGAAGAAGCAGCCGGCCGUGGUAGAAUCAGCUGAUUCUACAAUGAAUGAUCAGACAUCAACUCUCUACAUCGCCAAUGUAGAAAACUGUGAAGAAGCAAAAGACAGCCCAGUUGUGGAGAGAGGGGCUUCAAAAGAAGAAGGGAUAAUCAACCUAUCUCCUUUUCUUGUUGGAGAAACAGCAGAGGAUAUGAGCAAGGAGCAGAUUAAUGAUUCAGCUGACUUUGACAAAGAUCUAGAUGGUCCUGCGGAGAAGUUCUGGUUCGUCUUCGACCCGAGGACUGAUGCCACCAUUUAUCAUGAGUAAGGCCUGGGAAGAGGGAGUCCUAUGUCCAUUAAUUAAUAGCAUGCGUGAAGGUGUUUGAUGUUUGUAUUAUUAGUAGAUCUGGUACGAAGAGUGAAAGGUUUCUCUCUUUGUUGAAGAUUUAAUAAAUGGUUGUGUGCAUGGUUUCUCCCUUCAUUUUCCACUAUUAGAAAGCUAAUUAUCUAUGAAAAAAAUAUCACAAAAUACAUAAUAUAUAUUAUAAACUCAAAUCUUACAAACUUAAACUUUUUAAAAAAUUGACCCUUUAAUAUUAUACCAGAACUAUUUGGUAUUGAGGCUAUGUGUGAAGGAGGGUGUACGAGAGUAUAACAUGUGUGUUAGAGUGCGUUUUGGAGUAAUUUUAGAAAGCAUUUCUAACAUUUAUAACACUUGAAUAAUAAUAAUUUUCAAAUAUUAAAAAUAUUAAAAACGUUUCUUAGAAUCGCUAUCAAACAAACUCUUAAACUUAUAAAAUCAUUGAAAUCAUGUUGGGAGUCAAAAGUUUAUCGUCAUUUAUAAUCAAAUAGUAAAUUGAGAUUAAGGAUAAUUUUAUAAUAUAUUAACCUUAUCUCACUCCAUUCGUGCCUCAAAUAUAUACAUAUUGUCAUUUUCUCAAAUAUAAAGAGGAAAUUGUGAAGUUAGAUUCAUAGAUCAUUACAAAGAAAAGAUUUUUAAUAAAAUCCCCAAUGGAGUAAUUACAAUUCCAAUAAAUAUGUAGUCUAAUUCCGAUGAUAAGUUUUACAUAAUCCCUUAUUAUGGAACAGACAAGUUAAAGUUCGUUUCAUAGUGAUUUUAUAAAACACUUUUACUUUAAAAAGUGUUUUUGAACAAAAAAUUUUAUUUUUGGCAAAAUUUAGAAAACUCAUUUAAAAAUUAAAAAAAAAAUAUCACUUAUAAUAUUUUUAAAAAAAAAUACUUGAUAGGUGUUUAUCUUAAAAGCACUUCUAUUAAAAAAACAUUUCUAAUAAAAACAUCGUAAAAAACACUCUCAGAUUUAGAAUACGUUCGUAGUGAUUUUAUGAAGUAUUUAUAAUAUUUUUAAUAUUUGAAAAAUAAAAAAUUUCAAAUAUUAGGAAUGGUAGAAAUACUUCCUAGAAUCACUGUGAAACGUAUUUUUAAUACUUAAAAAAAAAUAUUCAAAGUGGUUUCUAAAUACCUUCUCUUAUAAUCGACUUAGACUUUAUUUGACAAUGAUUUUUAAAAAUAUUUCUUUAAAAAAGGUAUUUUAUAAAACUUAAAAAUAUUUUUAAAAAUCUAAAAAAUUACUUAUAAUAUUGUGUGAAAAAACACUUAUAUUAAAAACACUUGGGUAAAAGCAGCGCCAAUAGCACUUUUAGUUUGAAAGGAGACACAAAAUGAUAAAAAAGAAAAGGUUUGCUAUUGGGUUAUUAAAAAAAUUACCCAUAUAAAAAUAUUGUCUAGGGACCCCCUAUUAUCGGUCAUCUAUUAUUGGACUUAAUCAUCUCGGUUGAGUUCGGGCUUGAUCCCAAUGAAGAAAAUUUUGGUUUGGGCUCGAAUUUGCUUUUUAUGUCCAAACCUGAUAGUGGGCUACACAUGGGCUCUACUAGACCUGACCCAGAUGGUCGACCUUGCUUGGCCUGCCCCAAAGGAUUGGUCAACCUUUCAUCAAUCAAUGGAACACUUUUAGGAUGGGAUGAAUAUGAGGAGGGUCGGAGAUGGGUCACCUCAUCCUGUUCCAUUUAUUUAAAAUAAUGUUUAUUCCCAUUUUACACUAAUUGUAAACCAUUUGUGAAGGACAUUGAAGCUAUGAGUAUUAAUACAUUGGCUUACACAAUGGCUAAGGAUCAUAAAUCAUUUGUGAGAGAUUUUGAGCCCAUGAAGACGAAUACCUUGGCUUACACGAAGUCGUAAAAGGAAUUUGAGCUUGUUGGGUUUACUAUGGUGAAGUUACUACUAAAGAAGUGGUAGAAUAAGGGAAACUAUAAUGUGCACUAUGUAUAUAUAGAGAUAUACUAAAGGUACGGAAAAGGCGUUUACUUCUUGCAAAAAAACACAAGGGUGUGAAGAUGUUUAAAACAAAUCCUUGUCCCAAUGUUAUUCAAAAUACUCCUUUAAUCACCCGAUGCCUUUUUGAGCUCCAUAUUUUUCUUUUAGGUUAUGUUUGGUUCCCGAAAAAUACUAAGGAAAGAAAAAAAAUGCAAAGGAAAAUGAUUUUUUCAUGUUUAGUUGUCCUAUGAAAAAUAUAAAAGAAAAUUAAAUAUAAUUAAAACUAAUUAAAAACCUAUGUAUUUUA
rnacentral:lncRNA from 1 species